UGUGGCCAAUCAUAGCAUAAAAUAACUGCACUUCUGUUUCAACAUUCCAUUCUAUUUGCUCGGAAACUUCUUCUUUGUCUUUCACCACCAUUUUUAAUGCACUAUCCGGCACUACAACACCAGCCUUCUGCUGCGAAUCGAAUUUUGUAUCGAAAGUACAAUACUCGAUUUACAAAAGACAAACCUCGAACGCCAAUUCAAAUUUCACAGAAGACACCUGUAAUAUACGGCCAGCCGGCAGCUUCCGCUGAAGGAGAAGUGAAGCCCGAAAGAGUUCCACCCCGCAAUCCGAUUUGAGGCAGACAUCAGCCAACUUGAGGGAGCGAAUGAAUGUGUUGACGAAUAUCUGCCCUGGCUACAUCCGCUGUUGCUUCCUGGUUGCAUGCCGGGCAGUGGAACUGUUGACCUUAAGUGUUCUGGAAAGGCUGCAGAGUAAUUCACUGACUUCAGGACAUACGGAAAGCGCACAGAGAUUUGGCAGCGCUCGAUUGGAUCAGAAGGU